GACGAACGCUGGCGGCGUGCUUAACACAUGCAAGUCGAGCGAACCACUUCGGUGGUGAGCGGCGAACGGGUGAGUAACACGUAGGUGAUCUGCCCAUCAGACGGGGACAACGAUUGGAAACGAUCGCUCAUACCGGAUAGGACGAAAGUUUAAAGGUGCUUCUGGCACCGCUGAUGGAUGAGCCUGCGGCGCAUUAGCUAGUUGGUAGGGUAAAGGCCUACCAAGGCGACGAUGCGUAGCCGACCUGAGAGGGUGAACGGCCACACUGGGACGGAGACACGGCCCAGACUCCUACGGGAGGCAGCAGUAGGGAAUCUUCGGCAAUGGGCGAAAGCCUGACCGAGCAACGCCGCGUGAAUGAUGAAGGCCUUCGGGUUGUAAAAUUCUGUUAUAAGGGAAGAACGACUUUAGUAGGAAAUGGCUAGAGUGUGACGGUACCUUAUGAGAAAGCCACGGCUAACUACGUGCCAGCAGCCGCCGUAAAAC
rnacentral:rRNA from 1 species